CGGACAGCACGUGUUAUCUGUAUGCUGGAGUUAACGUAAGGCACAACGACGUUUCCCCGAUUUUCUUCAUACAGGGUUGCCAAAUUUCUUUGUUGACGAACUUCAACUUCAUCAUUAAAAUGCUGACUUUGAAUGAUGUUAUUUGACCCGUAAAAAUUGGGAAUCAGCCAAAGCAGUCAUGUAUGGCGGUCGUGUGGAAAGGAUGCAACCGUGUGGGAUGGCCUUCACUACAAGCAGUCACUUCUCGAGACACCAAAUCCUGUCACACAAGGCCAAUGGAUGGUUGGUGCAUUGUCAUUGAGUUUGAAUGUGGUAGGAUUCUUAGGAAUCUAGUGCCAGAGAUGAAGCAGAAGCCACAACGAAGCCUGGGUUUCAUAAACACCACAAAAA